rnacentral:rRNA from 1 species
ACAGUGGACGCGAGCAUCUUGUUUUCUGUAGGUUAAGUUGUCAAGGGCGAACGGUGGAUGCCUUGGCACCAGGAGCCGAUGAAGGACGUGGGAGGCCGCGAUAGGCCUGGGGGAGCUGUCAACCAAGCUGUGAUCCCAGGGUGUCCGAAUGGGGAAACCUGACAUCAGUCAUGUGGUGUCACCUGCAUCUGAAUUCAUAGGGUGUAUGGGGGGAACGCGGGGAAGUGAAACAUCUCAGUACCCGUAGGAAGAGAAAACAACAGUGAUUCCGUGAGUAGUGGCGAGCGAAAGCGGAUCUAGCCUAAACUUGUGGCGUUUGAUACCUGUCAGGGGUUACGUCAUGGGGGUUGUGGGACCCACUUAUCAUAUCUGACAGUGUGGUGAGGAGUUAUAAAGUUGCAUGUUAGUCGAACGACGUGGGAAAGUCGGCCGUAGACGGUGAGAGCCCGGUAGACGAAAAUGUGUGACCUCCUUGUGGUGUUCCCGAGUAGCGGCGGACUCCUGUAAUCUGCCGUGAAUCUGCCAGGACCACCUGGUAAGGCUGAAUACUUCCUGGUGACCGAUAGCGGACAAGUACCGUGAGGGAAUGGU